AACGAACGCUGGCGGCAUGCCUAACACAUGCAAGUCGAACGAGACCUUCGGGUCUAGUGGCGCACGGGUGCGUAACGCGUGGGAACCUGCCCUUAGGUUCGGAAUAACUCCCCGAAAGGGGUGCUAAUACCGGAUAAUGUCUUCGGACCAAAGAUUUAUCGCCUUUGGAUGGGCCCGCGUUGGAUUAGCUAGUUGGUAGGGUAAAAGCCUACCAAGGCGACGAUCCAUAGCUGGUCUGAGAGGAUGGUCAGCCACACUGGGACUGAGACACGGCCCAGACUCCUACGGGAGGGAGCAGUGGGGAAUAUUGGACAAUGGGCGAAAGCCUGAUCCAGCAAUGCCGCGUGAGUGAUGAAGGCCUUAGGGUUGUAAAGCUCUUUUACCCGGGAUGAUAAUGACAGUACCGGGAGAAUAAGCUCCGGCUAACUCCGUG
rnacentral:rRNA from 1 species